rnacentral:lncRNA from 1 species
UCGGAGUCAACAUCCUCCACUGGACGACGAUGGGAGUUGGUCGGCGGAUCAGCUCUGACUUCUGCAGUCGGAGCCGACUGAUCUUCGGCAACCGGCUCUGCGUCCUCUUCGGCUUCCGCCCUGGUGGAGAGACCUUCCGACGCUGGUUCGGCCGUCUCCUCCGCAGCUGGGGCCUCCGACUCCGACAGAACUAUGCUGCUGAGAUCCAGUUCCGGGUACAAGCCUCGAACG